rnacentral:tRNA from 1 species
GGAUUGUGGCUCAGAGGUAGAGCUCUCGCCUAGCAUGCGAGAGGCCCUGGGUUCAAUCCUCAGCACCA